AAAGAAAACAAUGGAUGGUGAACAUAAGAAGAGUUAAGAAUUCCAGAUUUCAUAAACAACAGCCAGCUAGCUGUCAUUAUAAGACAGGGGAUUUUAUGGAAUGAACACCUUCAAAGAAACAAAGGCUUAGGAAGAAACAGUUCCUAAAGUUUCUGACUGGAUUGAGGAAACUACACCAAUAAUAUUGCUGACGAGUAAGCCCACUGCCACAUCAUAACCCAAAAAUUAACGAUUAAAAUAAGAUGAUGAUGAUAAUGCAACAUUGACAUCAGAUGUUCAGCCUGGUGGAAGCAGGGAGGACAUUCGCACAGCAACCUCUUCACAUAUUGAUUUAAACAUAUUUUAUUCAAAAUGUUUGUAAAUAUAAUCAUCAAAGUUCACAUUGAAUACCGGUACAAUAUAGAUGUUACAUAAUGAUCAACAGAGAGAGAUAUAUGACAUGCUGAGCUCUACUGACAAACUAACUUA